rnacentral:hammerhead_ribozyme from 1 species
AUCCAACUGAUGAGUUUUAGAUAGGAUGAAACACGUGUUCUGGAU